CUGAAAAGGGGUACUGUUUUUUGGAUUUAACGAUCGAAUAAGCUUAAUACUUUGUUCACGAGUUAACUGAAUAGUAUACAGUUCAGUACCUGUAAGGAAAAAUGAAUUAAUAUGCACGUUCCAGAUCCAUUGAUGUUGAUGAAGUACUGCUGAUGGGUAUUGGUCUGCUGUAACGUUUGGAUAAGGGGACAGAAGUGUGAAUGAAAAAAAAAACUGAGUAUUGGACAAAGCAAAAAAAAUGGAAACAACAGGGACAAGCAAUGGGGCCAAUGCCAGUAAAUAUUUAAAGGCAUGUCCUGGAAGAAAGACACUGUAACACUUUAUGGAUACCUUGAACUGCUGCCCUUAUUCUGGAUUUUGUCUUUGAACUUCAAGAAACCAUCAUUUCCAUUUGAUACUUUUAAGGACUUUGGUAUUCUCCUUGAGGCUGCCAUGAGAUAGUCGCCCAACUUCAGCAUGCCAUGAUAAGACAAUCAUCCAUCUGCAGUCUGCCACAAGAUGGUCAUCAAAUCUGCAGUCUGCCACGAAAUGAUCAUCCACCUGCAGCCAGCCAUAAGUGUUUUGAUUAACACAUUACAUCUGUUUUCUACCAGCAAUUGUUAUUUAUUGAGUAGCCUUGUGAGAAAAAAAAUGUAAUGCAAAGCGUCGUACUCCAUAUCAUUGGUAAGAUACAGAAUGGAAGUAUAAGAUUCAGUGCUUGAGAUUUGUUCAAUUUUAUUGAAUUGAAAACUAGGCUACCUGUCCUGGUCAACAAGUUUGUAUUGUCUUGAAUAAGGAUCAACUAUAAAGGCUACUACUUAUAUGCUAUAAUAUGGUGUUCAACUGUGGAGCAAUCAUGAAAUUAUGUUAGGAUACAAAAAGAAUUCCUAUUUGUGCAUGUAAAGCAAACAAAUAAUACAGGAAAUAAUAAAUACAAAGCUUCAAUGCCAUUUUUAUUUUUUGUCACGUUUAUAUCUGAAAAGCUAUUUAAAAAAACUGUUGUUUUUUUAAUGGUUGAAUUAGGAACUUUUGAUAUUUACCUUAACAUCAUUUUGAAGGUUCACAUGGUACAAAAUAAUCCCAAUAAAUGUCUUAUUGAUAAUGUAUAAGUUUUAAAAUAAUAACAGAUUACUUUACGCAGAAUUUGUCAGGUAUACUUUAUACCAUAGUUCCACCAUGUUUUCAUAUAUAUACCUGUACUAACGUAUAUAGUAAUGAAAUUUAUGAAUGAUUUCACCAUCAAGAAAUAAUAUCUUUUGUGAUUUUUUUUUUUUUAUAUACAACUAGGGUAAUAUCUUUUGAUGUGACAUCCUGAAUGAAAAGCUUUGGAAAUGUGCAAGUUGUAUAGCGACAUUUUAUGUAUUGAUACAUAUAAAUAAUGGAAGUCAUACUAUAAAGAAAAUAACAUUCCUGGUCAUUAAAUUUAAUUUAAGUAGAAAAUUACAUUCCUUGUCAUUCAAUUUGAUUAAAAUAGAACAUUACAUUUGUGAUGAUGCUAUUAUUUUAAGAAGAAUGCCAUGUUGGUGAAUUGUAUUUGAUUAGUAAAGUAUAUAACUUUGCAUUUCUGAAAUCAGAUCUGAAAAUUUGUCGUUGCACACAUUAUAUUAUGCAACAAGAUUAAAGAGAAUACAAUCAAUGCAUUGUAAUGUUGUUUAAGUUGAGUUCAUGAAACGAUGUAACAAUAUUGUAUGUUAUGUUCAUUAUUAUGAGUUUGAUUGUUAACUACCAUAUCAUAUAUUUGUAUGUAAAAUUAUAUGCAAUCACUAGAAUGUAACGGUCAAGCCUUCUGGAUGUUAUUAAAAUAAAUUUUAAAUAUAUUCUAUUAGUUGCCCUACUUGACACUAUAUUUGCAUAGUUGCCCUACUCGACACUGUUUGAAUAGUUGCGUAACUGUUGAAUACUCA